rnacentral:rRNA from 1 species
AUUGAACGCUGGCGGCGUGCUUAACACAUGCAAGUCGAACGAAGUGGCGAACGGGUGAGUAACGCGUAAUCAACCUGCCCUUCAGAGGGGGACAAAAGUUGGAAACGACUGCUACUACCGCAUACUGAAGGAGGGGAUUGCGUCUGAUUAGCUAGUUGGAGGGGUAACGGCCCACCAAGGCGAUGAUCAGUAGCCGUUCUGAGAGGAUGGACGGCCACAUUGGGACCUAGACACGGCCCAGACUCCUACGGGAGGCAGCAGUGGGGAAUCUUCCGAAAUGGACGGAAGUCUGACGGAGCAACGCCGCGUGGGUGAUGACGGCCUUCGGGUUGUAAAGCUCUGUUAAUCGGGACGCGGUACCGGAAUAGAAAGCCACGGCUAACUACGUGCCAGCAGCCGCGGUAAUUC